ACCGUAAGGGAAACCCAGGCUAAUACCGCAUACGUCCUACGGGAGAAAGGGGGCUUCGGCUCCCGCUAUUGGAUGAGCCUAUGUCGGAUUAGCUAGUUGGUGAGGUAAAGGCUCACCAAGGCAACGAUCCGUAGCUGGUCUGAGAGGAUGAUCAGCCACAUCGGGACUGAGACACGGCCCGAACUCCUACGGGAGGCAGCAGUGGGGAAUAUUGGACAAUGGGCGCAAGCCUGAUCCAGCCAUGCCGCGUGUGUGAAGAAGGCCCUCGGGUUGUAAAGCACUUUCAGCGAGGAAGAACGCCUAGCGGUUAAUACCCGCUAGGAAAGACAUCACUCGCAGAAGAAGCACCGGCUAACUCCGUGCCAGCAGCCGCGGUAAUACGGAGGGUGCAAGCGUUAAUCGGAAUUACUGGGCGUAAAGCGCGCGUAGGUGGCUUGAUAAGCCGGUUGUGAAAGCCCCGGGCUCAACCUGGGAACGGCAUCCGGAACUGUCAAGCUAGAGUGCAGGAGAGGAAGGUAGAAUUCCCGGUGUAGCGGUGAAAUGCGUAGAGAUCGGGAGGAAU
rnacentral:rRNA from 13 species